GCCUGGGUGGCUCAGUCGGUUAAGCAUCUGACUUCGGCUCAGGUCAUGAUCUCACGGUCCGUGAGUUCGAGCCCCACGUCGGGCU
rnacentral:tRNA from 1 species